UCUCAGUUGAAGAAAUUUGAAAAGGUGUUUGGGUUUUUAUUCAAUUCAAAAAAACUGAAGUCCUUGGAUGAUAGCAAUCUACGGGAAUGUUGCACUACUUUUGCAAAAGCUUUUUCUGAUGAGAACUCAUCUGAUGUUGAUCUUGAUGAUUUUGUCUCUAAGUUGAAAGUGUGACAGGUAACUUUGCCAGAUGGUUUGAUGUCCGCGCUUGAGAUUCUUCAGUUUGUUAUGGCUGUAGAUUGCUACCCAAAUAUCUCUCUUGCCUAUCGGAUCCUCUCGACAGUGCCUGUGUCUAUAGCCUCAGCUGAAAGAAUUUUCUCUAGAUUGAAACUAUUGGAAAAUUAUUUGAGGUCAACUAUGUUGCAAGACAGAUUGGACUUGGCCAUGUGCUGCAUUGAGAAGGAUCUCUUGGACAAUGUUGAUCUUGAUUGUGCCCUUAACGACUUUGCAUCAAGAAAUGCCCGAAGAAACUUUUUCUGA
rnacentral:rRNA from 1 species